GAGGCCCCGCCCCCACGGAAAUUGGGACCCGGUUCCAGAUUCCUACGGGAGGCAGCAGUGGGGAAUUUUGCCCAAUGGGCGCAAGCCUGAUGCAGCCAUGCCGCGUGUAUGAAGAAGGCCUUCGGGUUGUAAAGUACUUUCAGCGGGGAGGAAGGUGGUGAGGUUAAUAACCUCAGCAAUUGACGUUACCCGCAGAAGAAGCACCGGCUAACUCCGUGCCAGCAGCCGCGGUAAUACGGAGGGUAGCAAGCGUUAAUCGAGAAUUACUGGGGCCGUAAAGCGCACGCAGGCGGGUCUGUCAAGUCGGAUGUGAAAUCCCCGGGCUCAACCUGGGAACUGCAUUCGAAACUGGCAGGCUAGAGUCUUGUAGAGGGGGGUAGAAUUCCAGGUGUAGCGGUGAAAUGCGUAGAGAUCUGGAGGAAUACCGGUGGCGAAGGCGGCCCCCUGGACAAAGACUGACGCUCAGGUGCGAAAGCGUGGGGAGCAAACAGGAUUAGAUACCCUGGUAGUCCACGCCGUAAACGAUGUCGACUUGGAGGUUGUGCCCUUGAGGCGUGGCUUCCGGAGCUAACGCGUUAAGUCGACCGCCUGGGGAGUACGGCCGCAAGGUUAAAACUCAAAUGAAUUGACGGGGGCCCGCACAAGCGGUGGAGCAUGUGGUUUAAUUCGAUGCAACGCGAAGAACCUUACCUACUCUUGACAUCCAGAGAACUUACCAGAGAUGGAUUGGUGCCUUCGGGAACUCUGAGACAGGUGCUGCAUGGCUGUCGUCAGCUCGUGUUGUGAAAUGUUGGGUUAAGUCCCGCAACGAGCGCAACCCUUAUCCUUUGUUGCCAGCGGUCCGGCCGGGAACUCAAAGGAGACUGCCAGUGAUAAACUGGAGGAAGGUGGGGAUGACGUCAAGUCAUCAUGGCCCUUACGAGUAGGGCUACACACGUGCUACAAUGGCGCAUACAAAGAGAAGCGACCUCGCGAGAGCAAGCGGACCUCAUAAAGUGCGUCGUAGUCCGGAUUGGAGUCUGCAACUCGACUCCAUGAAGUCGGAAUCGCUAGUAAUCGUAGAUCAGAAUGCUACGGUGAAUACGUUCCCGGGCCUUGUACACACCGCCCGUCACACCAUGGGAGUGGGUUGCAAAAGAAGUAGGUAGCUUAACCUUCGGGAGGGCGCUUACCACUUUGUGAUUCACGACUGGGGUGAAGUCGUAACCAGGUAACCGUAGGGGAACCUGCGGUU
rnacentral:rRNA from 1 species